rnacentral:rRNA from 1 species
CUUAAAUUGAAGAGUUUGAUCAUGGCUCAGAUUGAACGCUGGCGGCAGGCCUAACACAUGCAAGUCGAGCGGAAACGAGUUAUCUGAACCUUCGGGGGACGAUAACGGCGUCGAGCGGCGGACG